AUGUUACUGUGAGUUAUAAAUGGAGAUGUGGUUGUGCUAUUUGUGGCUUGGAUGUAAUGUUGCAGGUGAGGAGGAGAAAGCUGCAGCUGAGAUACAUCAUAUGUUGUGCAUGCUUUGGAGCCGGUGGUGGUGUUGGAGUUGGAGCUAAGGUGUGAAUGUUGGAGGUAUAGGUAUAAGUGGAAGAUUAGGUGGUCGGCGGAAUUGCUGAGUGUCAAAUUUACUUUGUUGAGUCUGUAAUUCUGUAGCCACUCCUGAGGUAUUUCAAUUCGUUGCAGAGUGAGCGCUUUUCUGGUUGUUACUUCUCUGACAUGAACAUGGUCAUUUUGGCGCCAACUGGAAGCGGCAAAACAGUGUUAUUUGAGCUAUGUAUCUUAAAGCUCCUUUCCUGGUUCCUUUCUCAGGAUGGAAGGUUCCUUCAUAUGAAGGGUACACUGAAAACAGUCUCGACGUUUUUUGUGCGCACUGACAAGACACUAGCCUUUUUUUAGAU